rnacentral:lncRNA from 1 species
CACCUGCAGAGUAGCAGAUGGUGGCUUGUAGAAAGGGUGUCGAGGGAGGGGAGGUGCCGCGUGGAAACAGCCCAAGCCAAACCCCUAGGACCUGUCUCCCUGUCCUCCUAGAGAGCUGAAGGUGUUCCGUGGUCAGUGAGGGCUGGCACUGGCUCUGCACGAAGAUCUCCUCACCUCCCCAGCGGCUCCUGGCCAGCUCCCCACGGAGAGCCCAGGACACUUGUCCCUGGACACAGUGGUGCAGCCAUGCUUGGGCCAAACCAUGAGGCCACCAGAACCGCGAAAGGCUACUCUACUGAGAGGGAUACUGCGAGAGAGGCCCACGGGUUUCCAAGCAUCCCUCUCACUCCGCACACUCAUCUCCACGACCGGCUUUUAAGUGCGGCCUUGAGGCCUGGCUCCCUGUUUGGACUUCUCUGCACCUCCAGGAGCUCCCUUCCCGUCACAGCUGGAUGCCUCCUCCCGCAGGCACCUCCCCGGCAUCCUCCCGCCCCAGGCUGCACCUUCUGUGGGACUGGCCCCCGCAGGCACCUCCCCG